GGAAGGGGCAAGAACAGUAUAAACUGACCUUUUAGGGGCCAAGCUGGAAGCAUGACAGGAGAAAAAGAGCAGCACUGAGCUCAGCAUGCAAAUAUAGACAACUUGCAAAGCCGCACGCAGCUCCGGCUCCAGCGCUGCCCUCUGCCCAGGCCCCGCAAGGCGGCUCUCACUUCCCUUCCACCCCGGGGACUUUCCUCCCACGGAUUCUCAGCCAGACCGAGAGGAGGAAGGAAGAAGUGGGGAAGCAUCUGUGUUCACCCCCAUCUCCAGCCUGAAGGACUGGGCUCAGCUCCGGCGGGGCCUGGCCCUGGGGAGAGGUCUGGCCCAUUAGCGUGUGGACGGCCUCUGGGAGGGCCCUGGCCUCCCCUCAGUUUGCACCUGGCAGAGACCCCUCCGGAAGCCACAGGGAGACCUUGGCUCUGCGCCCUGUCCCCCAGUGUGCCCUGAGCUGCCCCUUGGAUGGUAACACCCUCUUCAUUUGCCUUUGUAUCUCAUUUGUUCUGGGUAGCAGAGCCAAAACGAUUUCGUUGACGCAUGUUUGAGACUCAAAGAAGCGAAAUGAUUUGUCUGCAUUGGUGGAAGGUCCAGGUCUUCCAGACACAAGCGGUAUACAGAGACCAGGGCUUCUCGCUGCCUCUCCUCCUUCCUCAGGCAGCUUAUGCUUCUGAGCCUCACUGGCAUCCCUGCUGGUAGGAUGGGGACACUGUGCCCAUCUCACAGGGUUCUCCUGAGAUUUAGAAAUUGUCUGUCUCUAGGGACAGGCCCAGAUGGGGGUUUAAAAUGGGAGCUACUGUUAGUCCAGGCCUCCACGGACCUACGCUAAGCAGUAAGCUCCACGAUAUUAAUGUAUUCAAGUUAUUAAAUGGGCACAAGUGGA